rnacentral:lncRNA from 7 species
AGUAUUGCAUGACAACUCACAAUUUCAUCGGGUUUGGCAAAGCGAGCGUGCUCCGCGAUUUUAUUUACAACCGGCUCCCAUUAACACCUCACCUGAUUACUGAGGAGCUGAGACAGCUAAGCAGGAAAACCCAGCAAAGCGGCCAAAGCUGAGAGGGAUCCUCCGCCAGGAACAAGGACCCACCUCCAUCUCCCGGCUGAGCACCGCGCCUCUCCCCACCCAGACCGCAGCCCUCGCCGCUCAUAAAGGAGGGCACAGUUUGGGAAGAAGCUCCUAAGGUCGCAAGGUAAGGUCCUGCGUGAGCCCCUGUGAGCGGUGCGGCGAUUCAGACUUCACGAUGCCAUUUGCGGGUGUUCCUUUGCCGUCGUGUUGUUGUUUUUUUUUUUUUUUUAAACCAGCAGUCCAGAAUGGUCGCUCCCCCAGGUGCUUUCGCAGUCAGCAUUCGGUGCGGGUGUUUUAAGCUGGACAAACACCAGCCUGGGAAGUCCGAGCCGUUCUGUUUAAUAAAUACGGAGCUGUGUUCUUUAUUCCUUU